UACAGAGACUGCAAGCGUUAUUCGGAUUCACUGGGCGUAAAGGGUGCGCAGGCGGCCAGGUGUGUUAGGCGUGAAAGCCCGUCGCUCAACGACGGAAUUGCACCUAAAACUAUCUGGCUAGAGUACUGGAGAGGGUAGUGGAAUUCACGGUGUAGCAGUGAAAUGCGUAGAUAUCGUGAGGAACACCAAUGGCGAAGGCAACUACCUGGACAGUUACUGACGCUCAGGCACGAAAGCGUGGGGAGCAAAAGGG
rnacentral:rRNA from 1 species